rnacentral:lncRNA from 1 species
UUUUUUUUUUACGUAAAUUGCCAACUACUAAGGUUUACUUGAAAUUGUUCAAUGGUUCAUGAGAAGGCCCAUUGGUAUUUUGGUUAUUUACCUUUGUUUUAAUUAUUUACCUUAUGAAGAAAUUAGAUACCAGGCUUGUCUUGAAGUAACACCACUUUAAGGCUUUCAGUUAAAGAUAUAUUUUUACCAGUAGAAUUCUUGCGGCGGAAUGGUUUACGAAAUGUUGUGACAUUUUAACUUUCAUCAUACUUAGUCACAUAUAUGAUCUUCAUAAUAAAGGGAGUUAAUUGUAAGGAGACCAGUAUAAAACCCACACCCAAUCCCCUGUUUGACCUGAAUUUAACUUGUCCAUCUCCCUUCGCCGCCGCAUGUUCCUUAGAUUCCGUUUGGGAUCUGUACGAUGCUGCGGCAGGGCGGCGUUCCUCUUCAGCAGAGCGCCCCUUUGCCCGCAGGAUAUUGGAGGUACGGACUGGGAGUGGAGGUCAUAAGUGCCCAAAUAGUAUUUAUUUAUUGAAUAUCAUCGUCGUCAUGUUCUUGCACGCUUCUUCUAAAUGGGCCGCAUGUUCCUGCCCAGCCCAGAAGUCAACGAUGUUUGAUCCAUUCGAUCUCCCACAAGCUGGCCCUGAGUUUGUACAGACUUUGUAUCACAUUUAACGUGAAAAUUAUUUUUCAAGUUUUUAAAUAAAAAUAUUCUGAUAAAUACAGAUAAGUAAUCCGAAGUCAUGAGACGAUUAAUAUCAUAUUUCUCUCUUUAUGAAUACAUGUGCUAAUAUUAAUUAAUAUAGGUGGAUUAAAAGGGUCGAAUGGGGCCGAUAACUGCACUUUAUCAUGAGACGAUUUAUAAGUAAAUGAGUCCCUUCUCUCUCUAGACAGCGGUUCAGUCUGGUUCUAUCCAUCAUUGUUCAUACCAGAGGUCCAUGAAUCGGCGCGUGGGUCCUCUGAGUCGUUGUCACCACGCCCAUCACGCUGAAUUAAUCUAAAACAUGAACCGUUUGGUGGGCAUCAGCCUAGAGGAUUAUGAUGAACAAGGCCGCGCUGUCAUGGGGCUCAUUUGUGGCCCCUGGUGGCGCUGCCUCGGCCCGGCUUCCACCAUAAGAGCGAGAGACUCUCCGUCUCCGCCGUGGCCAGAGCUGAGGCAGGAACGCAAGACGAGGGGACCGUCUCAGAAGGGACUUGGGGACGAGGGGAAAAUGGUGAAGCUCGUGUUUGGAAGCUUCAGGGACUCCUCCACCCUUCGGUCCGUCAAGGCUUACCUCGCCGAGUUCAUCGCCACUCUGCUAUUCGUGUUCGCCGGCGUCGGCUCCGCCAUCGCCUACGGUGAGUCACGUCGGCUCCGCUGCUCUCGCCGGCGCCGCUGCGUGGUUCAUUCAGGUCUGCCGACGGCGUGGUGACUAACUCGGUCCAGUUGUCCUGUACAGGGAAGCUGACCAACGGAGCGGCGUUGGACCCGGCCGGGCUGGUGGCCAUCGCCGUGGCCCACUCGCUGGCGCUGUUCGUCGGCGUCUCCAUGGCCGCCAACGUCUCGGGGGGCCACCUCAACCCAGCCGUCACCCUCGGCCUGGCUGUCGGCGGCUACAUCACAAUCCUCACCGGUAUCUUCUACUGGGUCGCGCAGCUGCUCGGCUCCGUCGCCGCCUGCUUUCUGCUUAAGUUUGUCACCGGCGGACUGGUAAUCUUCCUACUCCAAUCAGCUCGCAGAGACGAAAACAAUUCAUCCUCCCGGGUUUAUAAACCCUGCGUCGUCGUCUUCCAUGGCAGGCGAUUCCCACGCACGGCGUGGCCGCCGGUUUGAGCGAGGUCGAAGGCGUGUUCAUGGAGAUCAUCAUCACAUUCGCGCUCGUGUACACGGUCUACGCCACCGCCGCUGACCCCAGGAAGGGCCCUCUCGGCACCGUCGCGCCCAUUGCGAUCGGGUUCAUCGUCGGCGCCAACAUCCUCGCCGCUGGGCCCUUCAGCGGCGGGUCGAUGAACCCUGCCCGCUCCUUCGGACCCGCUGUCGCUGGUGGGGACUUCACCGGCAACUGGGUCUACUGGGUUGGCCCGCUCAUCGGCGGCGCGCUGGCGGGGCUGGUUUACAGCAGCGUCUUCAUCGGAUCUUACGAGACGAUCCCUGGCUCCAACGACUUCGCUUGACUCAGUCAUUGUUUCUUCUGUGAAUGAGGAAGUGUACUACAGAUUCUGAGAUUAUAUGCUUCUAUUUGUUCGAUGGAUUAGUUUUUGAAAAUCCUAGAUAAAUUACACGGAUGUGUGACCCGGAAUAAGUAGCUCGAUUCACAAAUCAAACCGCGUCGGAGACGACCGUCGGAGCGGCAGCAGUAGCGGCGGCGGGCGGUGCAACGGCGAGGUUAUCGUACACAAGUACUGCCAGCACCCCGCCGAGAAGGGGCCCGACCCAGUAUACACCGUGGUUCUUGAAAUCCCCGGAAAUCAUCGCGGGACCGAAAGAACGCGCCGGGUUCAUCGAGCCGCCGGUCAGCGGGCUGAUGGCUAGUAACCCUGCACCGGCGGAGAAGCCCACGACGGCCGGCCCUGCCGCCUGUAGAGCUCCCAUUCUGGAGUCCCUCGCGGCGCACACGGUGUAGACAAGCGCGAACGUCGCCACCAAUUCCAUCGCCGUCCCCCCCAGCACACCGACGUUAGGUGCCAGCCCGUGAACCGGCAUGGCCUGCACGGCAUAGACGUGAGCGUUCUCAUCCCCAUUCCAGAGGCGGCGCGCGGGCGGUGCCGAACAGGUUUACCUCUCCGGCGGUGACCAGCGUCAAGAGCAAGCAGGCUGCGGUGGCCCCGAGCAGCUGGGCGACCCAGUAGAAGACCCCGAUGGCGACCCGAACGUGGCCCCCGACGACGAGCCCGAGCGUGACGGCCGGGUUCAGGUGGCCGCCAGAGACGUUCGCCGCCGCGUAGACCGCCACGAACAGCGCGAAUGCGUGGGCCAGCGCCACCGCCACCUCCAAAGUCUCGUCGCCUCCAGCAUCGGGUGUGUUCUUUCCCGCGGAGAUGGCGGAACACACGGCGAGGAAGACGAAGAGGAACGUAGAUAUGAACUCCGCUGCGUAGGAUCGAAGAGCAGAGGGGCUGAAGAUCUGGUCGAACAGGUCGAAAGUCCUCAGCCCGAUCCUCACUAUUCCAUGCAUCUUCUUCCUCGGAAAAGGAGGCUUCCUGGGAGGGGUGCAAGAGUGAAACCGUAUUACAGUAACUAUCUAUAGACGCGGUGGAACUGGUUCCGACCGUUGGGGAACUGCCCUUCUGCAACUUCCCCAUUGAAUAUCCAUUUCAUCAGAUCAUAUUGCCAUAAACGUUAAUUACGAUUUCAUUGAAACUGACAGUGACAGAGUGAUUACGAAACAACGAGAGAGUUCUCUACAGAGAGACGGCCUCCACGGAGCCGUGAGGGGACUCGCGGUCGGGGGCCGUGGGGAAAACCAGAUUCUGAUGAACCAGGGCGGCGAGGGCGGCUCCGACGAGAGGGCCGACCCAGUAGACGCCCUGGUUCUUGAAGUUACCGGUGACGACGGCCGGUCCGAAGGACCGAGCGGGGUUCAUGGAGCCGCCGGUGAAGGAGCCAGCGGCCAGGACGCAGGACCCUGCCACCAGCCCGACCGCCAGCGGCCCUAAGACCCCGAGCGGCGCCGCUCGGUUCCUGGGGUCACCGGCGACGUACACUGUGAACACCAGCGCGAAUGUGAUAACGCCCUCGAGGACGGCCCCUCCAAAACCCGUCAUCUCCGGGGCUAUCGCCGUCGUCGGAAUGGCCUGCGUAUGAGGUGCAUCUCAGAGAAACGGGAGAGAAACACUCCAGCGCUGGUUUAUUCAUCUACACGCCGCUGUACCUGGCCAGCGGUGGCGACGCGGAGGAGCAGGCAGGCUAGAGUGGACCCGAUCAUCUGGGACGCCCAGUAGACGAUGGCAGUGGGGACGGCAAUGUGACCGGCGACGGCGAGCCCGAAGGUGACAGCCGGAUUGACGUGACCGCCCGAUGAGUUGGCCGCUAUGUAGACGGCGGCGAACAGGGAGAGAGCUUGUGCGACCGAGGUCGCCACGAGAGAGGAGGCGUCCCAGGCGGCGCCAUCCGGGGUCGCCUUCCCUGCCCCAAACAAGAAAUCUAGUCAACGUCACCGUAGAGGUGAACCUAUUUCUAAACGGAGCAAACAAGGUUAUCUCACUCAUACUUGCGGACAUGCCGGAGCCGACGGCGACGAAGACGAAGAGGAAGGUGGAGAUGAACUCGGCGAGGUACGAGCGGAGGGCCGGGGGAGCGAUCAACUGUUGGAACUGGCUCCGAGGUGUGGGCGCCAUGUUUUCCACUCAAGUUCACACUCUCUUGAGGGGAUGAUGAUCUUCGGCAGAGAUUCUGUCGCAUCUUUGACUAACUAAGAGAUAUAUAGCCUCUGGUCUCCAUAAACCGGCCAGUAACCAAAAUAACUGCCCCUAAAGGCAUCCUCCCGAAGCACCCCUUCGCAGCUGUCUUGUGAAUCUCCGAAGGGCGCAUUCAACCCUAAAAAUGGUUCUCAUCGUUCAGAUGACCCAGAUCUGUCCACCCAUUGCUCUCUCUCUCUCUCNNNNNNNNNNNNNNNNNNNNNNNNNNNNNNNNNNNNNNNNNNNNNNNNNNNNNNNNNNNNNNNNNNNNNNNNNNNNNNNNNNNNNNNNNGUCUCUCUCUCUCUCUCUCUCUCUCUCUCUCUCUCUCUCUCUCGGUCCGCGAGGGAAUAGGAGAAGGAGAAUGCCCUGCCGUCGUCCAUGUCGGGCGAUUACCCACGGCACAUGCCGUGUUCCCUCAUCACAUGCUGCCGCCCGCACCUCCGCAUUGCCGCACGCCGGCGUGGAGCAGGCCAGGCUAGCAAUAAAACGAGUACUGUAGAGUCGACUCUGCCUGAUAGCGGGCUCGAGCUGAGGGCUCGCAGAUUCUGAAGCUUCCUCGAUAUUGCGUAGGUCGCUGAGGAGAAGGGAGCAGGGAGGGCCACGGCUGGCGCAAGAUUUCCCUUUAUGUCUCCUCUCCAAGAUUUCCCUUGACGGGCCGGGAAGAUGCAAAAUCCUCCCUCGCAAGCAACCCAAAGUCUGCUCUCGUUCGAUCUUCUGAAAGGAAAUUUGUGGUGGGAGAGAAAUCAAUCGGAGAGGACCUUCUUUUUCGAAAGUUCGAAACUUUCUGUCUCCGGCGGCGCCGCGGGGGUAGGCGCACGCCGCACGCCCGCAGAGCCGCCGGCCCCCGCAGGCUUCGUGCCGAGCGCCGACCAGUGGCUUAAAGCCGACUCCUCGUCGCUACAAUCCAUGGUGGAACACGAUUCCCAUAGGGCACCCUUUUCUUUCUCCUCUUAUUCCGCCUACUCGUCCUGUUGCGGGGAAGCAGAUCUCGCCGCUCGCAGGCGCACCGGGAACGGCGCCGGGUUACAGGCGGAAUGUUCCCCCAGUUGCGCCGAUCACUGUUGGCGUGGCCGAGCUCUCAUGGCAGAUGCAGGUGGGCUGAGGGGGACAGGCGACGUUAAAUACGGAAAGCUCGGAAUGAGCUCGAAUGGAGGGAAGGAGGGGCCCGCUGCUGUCUCCCCCACGAGGAACGAGCCCGCUCGUGUUCUGUGAAUUCUCAUUUCCCUGCUUCUUCCCUGUCCUAUUUAUCUCGGCCGGGGCGGAGGGAGGAAGAGCCAGAGAGGGAGAGAAUGGAGGGAGGGAACUUCUGGGGCAGUGCAGGAACCAAGAGGAGGGAUUUACUGGGGGUGGAGGACGGGGAGGAAGAGGAAUGGCUGUGUGGGGGCCAAGGGGUCGUAGGAUUUCCGGCGAUCCCGCCGCCGCAAACGCCGAAAGAGCCCAUGGAGUUCCUGUCCAGGUCGUGGAGCCUCUCAGCCGCGGAGAUCUCCAGAGCCCUGCUCGCGGGCGGUAGGAAGAGGAACUUCGUCGUCGACCGGCUGCCGGACAUGAUGAUUCCUGAGAUCUAUGCCCCGGCUCCGCCGCAGCACGGCUCGGUGAGUUGAAGCUACUCUCAGAUCAGAAUUUCUUCAGAGGUUGACGUGCUUCUCUCUCCAAUUUUCGUUUCACUGAUCGACUGAAUCUCGGGGCUCUCCGCCAUGGUUGCAGAGAUUCGCAGAGGAGAAUUCCACGAGUGUCCGCCGCCGAUCGAUAGGGAGUUGGUUCCAGAGCAAGGAGUCCAGCCGCAGCAAGAUGAACAAAGAGAGGAUCCGAGCGGAUAAAGCCCGGGUACACGCCGGAGUAUCAGUGGCCGGAGUGGCGGCGGCUGUCGCCGCCCUGGCAGCAAGACCUUACUCGAAUGAUCCGAAGAUGAGCAUCGCCAUGGCCUCCGCGACAGAGCUCCUGGCGUCGCAUUGCAUAGAGAUGGCGGAGCAGGCGGGAGCUGGUUACGAGCGGGUGGCCUCUGCGGUCCAGUCUGCGGUCGACGUUAGGGCCGCCAGUGACCUAAUGACUCUCACGGCAGCGGCGGCGACAGGUACACUUGUUCGGGAACCUCCUAUUUCCGGCGAACCUGAUCGCCGCCACCUCCUCCCUCCCCCCUGAACCGAAGAUCCUGUCCGUUUCCUCCUUUGAUAGCUCUUCGAGGCGCGGCAGCGAUGAAACUGAGGCUGGAGAGGGAUUGCCGGAGCAACUCCGCCGUGGCCCCAUGCGACAAAGGUCGGCGAAUCUGUCUGAACGCCUCCUCCUGCGAAGGGGACCUGUUCAAGCGCACUCAGAAAGGUACCACCGCCGCUGAAUCUCCGGCGGCGAGUUUCCGUCGCAAGGAUCCUACGUCGGAUUUCCUCAGACAGUGCUUCCUUUCUUCUGGCUUUCAGGUUCGAUCCAUCGGAAGCGAGUCUCCGUAUACAUCAACAAGAAAUCUCAGGUAGGGCACCUGAACUUGUUCGUUAGAGAUCUCUGGAUCUUAGCGGCGCCACUUCCGACUGAACAUCGAUCGAUUGCAGGUCAUCGUCCAGCUCAAGAGCAAGCACGCGGGAGGAGCGUUCUCGAAGAAGAAAAAAUGUUAGCCCUUACUCCUGCUAGGAGCUAUAGUUUUCUCUCCCUAACUCUAGAUCAGGCCGAUUUACCUUCGAUCUACUCCAUUCAGGCGUUGUUUACGGCGUCUGCGGGGACUGCCCUGCGUGGCCCGACCGGGACGAAGGUCCCGACGGAAGAAGCUACUUCGGGCUGAGAACAGCGCGGGGACUGCUGGAGUUCGAGUGCGAGACCAAGAUCUGCAAGCAGCGGUGGAUCGACGGGGUGGAGAGCCUGCUCUCCUUCGCCGGCGGCAGCGGCGGGAUUGAGAAUUCUCUGGAGCUGCUGAGGAUCGCCUAGACCUUGAGACUCCGGAGAAGAAGCGCGAUCCCUGCAAAUAAACCUGGCCAGAUCUUCGAAGCCGUAUAUGACAAAGAAUCGAGAAUUCCGCCGGCAUCUGUCGAAAAAACUGAAUGUAUUUUUUCGAGGAUCAAACACAGGGACAUCGACGGUGAAUCGAGAAGCUCGACGGAACGAGAAUCUUGGAUCUGUCCGGGAUGAAGGCGUCAGAACACGACGGUCUUCUUCACUUCGUACGGAAGCACCCGGAGCUCGCAGUAGGACCUGAUCGCCUUGGCCAGGCAUUGUUUCUCCAGGUUCUCCGACUUCUGCACGAAGCUCCGGAGAUUGUCUCUGUGGGAAACCCGCUCCACCUGUUCCAGAGAGACCAAACGGACCAGUAAGAUCCACAGAAGAAACCCAAAAUCUGUGACACUCAUCUCCUCCGUGCUCCCUCUGGCCCGAGAGCUCCAAGGCUUGUCACCUUCCUAAAUUGAAGGUCGCAUUGUAUGCAGAUCAGAGAACAGACCAUUAACAAGAUCAUGGGUCUCUAACUAAGGCAUCACCAUCUUGCAGGAGGACCAAAUGCGGAUGAUCAAGCAGCGAACCUUAAAACUACAAUGAUAAAUGAGAUCAUUGAAACCGGGUGAGAGANNNNNNNNNNNNNNNNNNNNNNNNNNNNNNNNNNNNNNNNNNNNNNNNNNNNNNNNNNNNNNNNNNNNNNNNNNNNNNNNNNNNNNNNNNNNNNNNNNNNNNNNNNNNNNNNNNNNNNNNNNNNNNNNNNNNNNNNNNNNNNNNNNNNNNNNNNNNNNNNGAGAGAGAGAGAGAUCACCAUCUGCUCGAUUAUUGGACCUUCGUCGAGGUCUUCCGUGACAAAGUGGCUUGUGGCGCCAAUCAGCUUGACCCCUGCGUCAUAGGCCUGGAGGAGCAGCAGGAGCGAGCCAGGUGAUGAUAAAACAGAGGGAACAUGGAGAGUGAUACAGGAAUCAGCCAUGAAUGGAGGACCUGACCUGUCUGGACGGAUUUCCACCCUUGAAUGAUGGGAGGAGGCCGUGAUGAAUGUUUAUUAUAUCUUUACCAUAACACCUCAGAAAUCUUCCAGACAGGAUCUGCAAAAUCAUCAAUGAACACUACGCAUUAACUGCCUCUUCUGACAGGAUGAUCGCCAUGGAUCAUCAAGAGGAUGAAGAUUAAUGAGUGAGUUCUUUAGAGGCCCAUCACGUAUCUUAUUCUAUCCUGUCUUCUACAAGGCUCUUCAAAAAUUACUUAAACAUAUCCCUGGAACGAAUAAUAACCACAGGUUUAAAAAUUAUUUACCUGCAUGUAUCUAGCAAGAACUAGAAAAUCGCUGUCUCCGACCAGGUCCAAGAUCUCAUCUUCUCUCUUGUUUCCCGGAGUCGUCGGCAGGUAGUGGUAUGGAACCCCGUUUCUUUCGAGAAAACGGAUGACGUGGGUAUUUGGGGCUCUCUUAUGAUUGCUGCAAUAACACAGAAAGCAAGAAGAUUACUGCUGUUAGAACGGAUCAAGACGUUCCCCAGAAGAAUAACCUCUCUGCAUCACCUGAUUACACAGUUAAUAUGAACUGGAAGCCUCCCAUCCUGCCAUCCGUGCAACACAUCAAUCAAGCAGUGAUCCUGCAGAUCAAUGGAGAAAAUUACUUCUAUAUGAUAAAGACAAGAAAAAAAUAUCUCUGAUGUUUUUACUGUUCGUUAAGAAGAAUGGAAAAGGCCAAGCUCAACCAGUAUCAUAGCUUUGAGAAAAGGCUGCACCUGCUUUGAAGCAAGAAUGGCGAUCUUGAACUUUGGAUCCAUACCAGGGACACGAACUAGAGAUUGAUCUGCAUUGAACAGCUUCUUUAUAUUCAAGAAGUCAAUAUCCAUGACCUCCCGAGGCCAGCUUGCAGGAUCAAACACAAAUUCACUGCAGAUGGUCAAUUUCAUAUCUCAGAAACCACAGAGAUUUGGGCAGGAAGAAGAUGGAAAAUAUGCAAACUCCCAAAUGUUCAAAAACAUAGACGAGAACAACACAUCUGUUAGUGUUUUCUUCUGUUCAUGGAAAUAUUUUCAAAGCUCGAUACAUUAUAAUAAUAGCGGCAGAGAAACAUUAUUCUGAGAUUUUAAAAUAUCAUAACCAUGGAAGUGAAAACGCAGUAUUGGGGCCCAAAUUGAUUAAAAAGUAUAGAGGAAGAAAAAAAAUCUGCUGAAAGAUUCCGAUGAUUGCAUAUAAAUGAUCAAGGAAAGAGUAUCAAAGGUAAGAAGCCUCGAUUAUUAAAACAUGGCUUAACUGGAACGGUUCUUAUGAGAAAUUAAAUGGGUUUUUCCCUCUCUCCUGACAUCAACUUCCAAAAUGAUUUCUCCACUCGAAAUGAUCAUGAAUACUAAAUGUAAGAAGUCACUCACUCAAUAAUUCAAUUCGGCGAUGAUACUUGUAUAAUUAGUUAUACCUGGGAGGAAAUUUGUGCUUGCAAUGAAAAUGAAAAUGAAACAGUGAGAUCAGAUCAAACACAAAUCCAAGGACCAACCUGCGGGAGUAGAAGAUUGGCUUAUCCUCGGGAACAAACACGUCGACACCAUGAAGGUUUCCCCCACGCAAUGCGAUGCACUCUGUAAUCUUCGCCACAAUGCCCACGGCGUCCUACAGCAGUGCCGCACGCGACAGGAAAAAAUACAUUCGAUCAUGUUUUGGCGCGAGGAGGGCGAGACAUGAGAAGGCUGGGAAUUCCUCGCCAUUUAGGUCGAAGAAUGCACAUAUCAUCGAACACCUUCCGAAAACCGGCGAGCAAGCGCGUACCGGGCAGCGGAAGACAUGAAUCCCCAACUUCCCGUCGACAACGCCAGAAGAAGAGGACGACGAACUGGAAGAGGAGCACCGCGAGGGCACGACGACCCCCGAGGCUCGUACGGCACAAGAAGCCCAGGAGGAGUAAUUCGACGAAGAGAUUGCUCUUCUCAGCAAUAACAUUGUAAUCUCCGACUGCCCCUCCUCCCUCGCACCCACAACCGGCGGGGAAGGCCGCUGCCGGCGAUUCCACGGCGGAGGGGAGAGGAGAGAGGAGAGAGAAAUAGCGGGAGAACGGAUCAGGACCAGCGAGAACCAGCGAAUGUGGGACGCUGAGAUGUCCUCGUCCUCGUCUUCCUUCGCCCGGCCUUGGAGCAGGCCGACUCCCCCCUUCCCGGGAUCGACGGUGUGAUCCGCUGUGAGCCCAAAACGGGUCCCUUCCGACGGGCGCCCCCCUCGGAUCCAUAUCGGUACUGUCGCGUCCCACUAUACCCGACAAGGAUUCAAAACAUCCUAAUUGGGCCCAGUGGGAGCCCAUAAAGGAAACUAAUGGGCUGGCCCGUUCAAGCUCCUGUGAAUAGUAACUGCGCGUGGGAAUGUGAAAGUUGCCCAGAGGGGAAAAAGGCACCCACGUCGCGACAAAAGAUCUCCUGGUGCUGUCGGAGUGGGUAAUCAUGACUCGAUGAGUGGGCCCACCCUGCGCAGAAGAAUCGGAUCUUCAAACGGUUCAGUGGGGGCCCACAACCGUUAUCCUCUACUCCUAUUGGCCCGUACAAAAGUACGUUAGAAGGCCAAUGCACAAGGUGGAAGGGGGUGGGAGAGAGAAUAAGAUCACUCUGACGGCGCAUUAACAAAAGGAAUAUAGAAGAUGCGACAGAAUCACCCCCCUCCCCCACCCCUCCUCAACCCAGUCAACAUUUUUUUCCUUUUUUAGUAAAAGAAACGCGUUGACAAUGCGAGAGUCCUUGUCUAGGAGUCCACCCCGUUAUGCGCCGCGGGCUUCCGUUCCGGCUUGGCCGCUCGGAGCAUGGAGACGACGUCCCUCAUCGAUGGCCGGUCGCCGGGGUCCCGACUGGUGCAGAGCAGCGCCACCCGCAGGACCAGCAUCAUCUCCUCCCUCACCGGCGGGCACCCUGCGCCGGCGGCCAUGUCCAGGACCUCCCACGCCGCCCACCGCCGCUCCUUGCUCGAGGCCGCCGCCGCCACCUUCGAGGUGACCCAGUCGACGAUGCUGUUCCCCUCGCCGAACUCCGGGUCGACCGAUCUCCUGCCGCUCAGCAGCUCCAGCAGCAGCACGCCGUAGCUGUAGAUGUCGCUCUUCUCGUCCACCUGCAGCGUGUAGGCGUACUCUGCGACGGACAAGACGAUGGCCCCGAUUGUUAGGGCUGACCAGCAGGGCAUGAUGCGUAGAGGAGGAGGGUUGACUUGACUCACCGGGAGCAAUGUAGCCGUAGGAGCCGGCAAUGACGGACAUGGAUUCAUCGCCGGAGUGGAUGAGCUUGGCGACGCCGAAGUCCGCCACCCUCGCCUCCAUCUCGGCGUCGAGGAGGAUGUUGCUGGGCUUGAGGUCGCGGUGGACGAUCACCGGGUCGCAGUCGUGGUGGAGGUAGCAGAUUCCUUGCGCCACUCCCAUGGCGAUCUUGUACCGCGUCGCCCAGUCGGCCGCCGCCGCCGCGGGGAGGUCCUGCUCCCCCUUUCCGCCGCCGCUCUUCCUCCGGUGCAGCACGUCCUCGAGGCUGCCGUUGGGCAUGUACUCGUAGAGCAGCAGAGUGGUCUCGCGGUUGCUGCAGCAGCCGAGCAGGCGGACGAUGUUCCGGUGCCGGACGGAGCCAAGGACCUCCACCUCUGCUAACACCCCUCCCCUCCGGCGUAUUAUCGAUGGCAUCAUCAGAUUCGCCUCUUUCUGCUUCCCCCACAGCUUCUUGACGGCGACGACUUCGCCGGAGGGCAUCUUCGCUCUGUACACCGUCCCCGUCGACCCCAUUCCGAUGAUGUUCUCCCCCGUGGAUAUGCACUCCGCCACGUCCUCGGCCUUGAAGUUCAGUCUCUGAAAUGCCGUCAGCUUCCAUGGCCCUGGCCCGUCGUCUCCGACGGAGGAGUCCUCCCCUCCUAACCGCCCAUGGAAGCACCGCGUGCCGGCGAGCAGGACCACCAGGCCGACGCCGAACGCCGCCGCACUUAUCCACACGAUCGCCGCCCCCGAGGGCUUCUUCUCCGGAGCGGCCGGAUUUCCUCUGAACCCGCCAUCUUCUUCCUCAGAUUUGGGCGAGCAGGGUCUGCGGAUGAGGCCGCCACAGAGCCCGGGGUUGCCGUAGAACGAGGACGGCUGGAGGUUGUUGAAGACGACGGAGGAGGGGAUGGGCCCGGUGAGACGAUUGAAGGAGACGUUGAAGCUCUCGAGGGUGGUGCAAUUGCCGAAACUGGAGGGUAUGGAGCCGCCGAGAGAGUUCUCGGCCAGGUCGACGUCCGUGAUCGAGGGAAGCGCCGCCAGCUCCCACGGAAUGAUCCCUGUCAGCUGAUUCUUGGAGACCUUCACACUGAUAAGCCUCUGGCAGUUCCCCACGUCCCACGGGAUUCUCCCGACGAGGCGAUUCCCUUCCAUCUCCAGCUUGUACAGGCUCCUGCAGCCGAACUCAAAGGCCGGGAUCUCGCCGGUGAACCCGCACCGGCUCGCCGAGAACACCUGCAAGCUCGGCGCCCGCCAGACGGAGGCGGGCAGGGCGCCGCCGAGCGGGUUGCCGGAGACGUUGAGCAGCUCCAACCUGGCGGCGCCGCCAAGGUCCGCCGGGAGCCCGCCGGAGAAGUUGUUGCCGCUGAGGUCCAUGUAGGUGAGGUUCGGGAGGAGGCCGAACCCGGGUGGGAUCGGGCCGGUGAACCGGUUCCCCUCAAUCCGGAGCCUCCACAGCGAGGUGCAGCCGGCGAGUCCGGCGGGGAGGACCGAGUCGAACAGGUUGGAGAAGAGAAUGAGUCGGGUGAGUUUGUUGCCGUGGCAGAGACUCGGUGGAACCCGGCCGGUGAGCGAGUUGGAGGACACGUCCAGCCUCUGCAGCUUCCCGUUGGAGCCCAGCCUCUGCGGGAGACCACCCGUGAGGGAGUUGUUCCACAGAAGCAGGUUCUCCAGGUUGGGGAGGUCGCCGAUUCCGGUGGGCACCUCGCCGGAGAGGUCGUUGUUCAUGAGGCUCAGGAGGGUGAGGUUGGAAAGGGAGGAAAUGCCCCAUGGGAGGGCCCCCGAGAGCCGGUUUUCCGACAGAUCCAGCGCCUUCAGUGAUCUGAGCUCGGAGAAGGAGCUUGGAAUCGUGCCCGUGAUGCUGUUCUUGAAGAGGAACAGAGAUUCCAGGCGAGUGAGAUUGCCCAGCUCCGGCGGCAGCGGGGAGGAAAGAUUUGCAGAGGAGACGUCGAGGUAGCGGAGACUGGAUAACCUUCCGAACUCCGGCGGGACGCCGCCGUGGAACUGGUUGUACCCAAUCUCCAUAUGCUCCAGCAGAGGGAAGUUCCCCAGCUCGCGUGGCAAGGUCCCGUCGAGCAGAUUGCCGGCGAGAUGUAGAUACCGCAGCCCCUGCAAGCCGGCGAGACCCGCCGGUACGGUUCCCUCGAAGAAGCUGCCGCCGAGGUUGAGAUACUCCAGCCGCCGGAGCCUCGUCAGGCCUUGGGGCACGGGCCCGGUGAAGCUGUUGCUGUAGGCGUCGAAGACGAGGAGGCAGCGGAGUCUGGAGAUGCCCGGGGGGACGCUGGAACUGAAGUUAUUGUGGCUUAUGUCGAGCUCCUCGAGGUUCCGGAGGUCGAAGAUGGCCGCAGGGAAGGGUCCUUCAAAGGAGUUGCCGCUGAUGUUCAGGCGCUUCAGGCUUCGGUACAGCAGUCGGAUUUCGGGGGCUAUGGAACCCGCCAGGUUCUUGCGAGAGAGGUCGAGGGAGGAGAUGUCGCCGCUGGAGGCGUCGCAGGUGACCCCGCUCCACGAGCACCAUGGCGGCGGCCUCGGGUCCGGCUUGCCGGAGCCGACGGGCCUGUAAUUCCAGUCGCGGAGAUUGGAGAGCGGGUCUUGCAGAGAACUCUUGAGGGAGAUGAGCGCGAGAAGCUGGAGAGGGAGGGCCGAGGAAGGCACCGCCGCGAUGGCGGCGAUGAGGAGGAGGAGGAGGACGAGCAGGGUAGUCUUCAUCGUUGGUGAUCGGCGAGGUGGCGGUGGCGACGGGCGGUGGCGGAAGAUAUAAGCUGGGGAAGAGGAGUGGCUCUUUUGAGGAGUGGAGAACGCAGACGGGGUUUUCAUGAUGGCCGCCGAGGGUAUCUCCAUCAUCCUCAGCCCCUCGUCAUCAUCAUCUUCGCAUCUUUCGACUGUGAGGGUGGUCGCAGCGGAGGGGGGAAAGCGAAGCGAGUGGAGCGACUGCUCUAUCCCUCUUUCUCCCGUCCUCCAAGUACCACCACUCUCUCUCUCUCUCUCUCUCUCUACCCUGCUGCAACUUUUCUGUCCCCUUCUCUUCGUAGAUGGAUUUCGUCGUCCUGGUCUGGAUAUCUCAGUAAAGCAAGGCGGGAGCUCUUAACAGCGCCAUUAGAGCGGAGGGAGAUCGCGACAGAGCGCUGUGACAUGAAAAAAAACUAUCUUUAUUAGCAUCGUCCCAACCAGCCGACAUCGUCCCAACCCCGCAUGGAUCAGCGACCGGAGACAUGUUCUCCUCUCCCUUCCUCUUUUCCCCUCGUCUUGUCCGUUUUUUCCCCUCUCUCCUUUCGUCGAUCAUCACCCGCCGGAGAACAGAAAGAAAAAGAGGACUCCGCCGGAGCAAGCAACUGGAGAGAGAGAGAACCGACCGUCCUCUGGUCUGGGUAAUUCUUAGACCCCCAUGAAGAUGUCUUCCGAGCAGUGCGGCAGUUUCCGCCGCUCAGCCGCCGCCGCCGCACGCCACGGAACAACCGAGAACGCUCCGAUCAGUCUGGCCAGGUACCCAUGAUACCCUUCGGCUCCGCCGCCUCUGGCGACGUUGGGGUUCCUUUUCGUCAUCAGGCGUGCUUCUCGCCCCUUUGAUGGGCUUCGCCGCCACAGAAUAGAGAGAGAGAGAGAGAGAGAGAGAGAGAGAGAGAGAGAGAGAGAGAGAGAGAGAGAUACGUAGUANNNNNNNNNNNNNNNNNNNNNNNNNNNNNNNNNNNNNNNNNNNNNNNNNNNNNNNNNNNNNNNNNNNNNNNNNNNNNNNNNNNNNNNNNNNNNNNNNNNNNNNNNNNNNNNNNNNNNNNNNNNNNNNNNNNNNNNNNNNNNNNNNNNNNNNNNNNNNNNNNNNNNNNNNNNNNNNNNNNNNNNNNNNNNNNNNNNNNNNNNNNNNNNNNNNNNNNNNNNNNNNNNNNNNNNNNNNNNNNNNNNNNNNNNNNNNNNNNNNNNNNNNNNNNNNNNNNNNNNNNNNNNNNNNNNNNNNNNNNNNNNNNNNNNNNNNNNNNNNNNNNNNNNNNNNNNNNNNNNNNNNNNNNNNNNNNNNAGAGAGAGAGAGAGAGAGAGAGAGAGAGAGAGAGAGAGAGAGAGAGAGAGAGUUGCUUCUGAGGACCCUCCGACAGUGCGGGUGGGGCAGGAUAUGAUUGCGGGAACAAUCUCUCCUUCCCCAUCUCGCCACUCUCGCCUUCUCUCUUUUCCAUCCGGCAAGACUCUUUAAUCAAGCGCGAGGGCAUCGUCAUCUUGUCUUCGUCAGGCCUCUCCACCCCCUCCGCCGGCUUUGUCUCGGCUCAGUACUGCCCGCGGCAGGCGCUGUGUGGAAGCUAGCCGCGGGGUCCGGAGGAAAAGCACAGGGUGCUCUGGGCGGCGGCAGCUGGGGGCUCCCCCUCAUUGGCAGAGCCCAUGUGCCGGGCCCGGCGGCGCUGGCGGCGGCCCGAUGCGCCGCCGCGAAAACGACCGGAGUUACCAGUAGGUUUUCCUUGUAUCAAGAACAGGAAUAUUAUACUGGAUUUGAAUCCAGAAUCUUGGAAAGAUCGAAUCCAAAAGGGGGAGGGCGAUCGCCUCCGACGGCGGCGAAAGAAAAGGGUCUUCUCUCGGGAGGGCCCUUCCAGCCCUUUUCCCUUUCGUUAUCUUCGGCGGGCAUGCUCUCGGAACUCAGUAUCGGAGUCACCGGAGCCGGAGACGGAGACCCACCAUUUCACCAGCGGCGCUUCUACCCCACCGAGCUGGAACUCCCCGACAAGCAAGAAGAAGCAGAGGAGGGUGAAGCAAACAAAGUAUAUCGAGAGAGAGAGAGAGACAGAGUGAGAUUGCUUGCGGGACGAACUACGAGGGAGCGGCUGACGCCGGAAAUAGUCCGUCGCUCGUUGUCACGUCCUCUCUCGAGAAGGGAUGGCCCUCGUCGUCGCCGCAAGACUGUUCAAGCCUUGCUUACUAGAAAAGCUGCCGGGGAAUGAUGGCCGCAGCUCUUUUCUUGGCCUCUUUUUGUUCCUCCUUCACGCCUGCCGUCUGCGGUCGUCGCUUCUUUACUCCCUCCUCCCCUCGCUGCGCGCACGGGUGGCCGGGAACGGGCAGCUCCACCCGUCAUGCCCGGGGGGUGGGUUGCAGAGCUCGACUGUCUCAGUGCAGCAGAAGCAGCACAUGGCGGCACGACACCACUCGCUGACGGACCAUGCUAAUAAAACGUUGGCUCUCGGGACUAUUUGAUCCCCCCCCGGGGAGAAGUGGAUAAUCUUCUGGGCCCAAUAAGGUUUCUUCCAUGUAUGUUGGGCUGACCCCCUCGAUCUGCAGGUGCGGAGCAUAGCCAAAAAAAUCCCUACAUUUAUCCUAAAUUAAAGGGAGAAAAUUCAAAAUUCGAAUAAAGUAUAUCAUUUAAUUUAUUUUUGGAGAAAAACUUACCAACCCAGAAAUUUAGUUCGCCAUUUUUCCCACGAUGCUAACCAUUCGUCUAUUCGCAUUGGAUUUUAUCCAUCUAAUUUUCUACGGGCAAUGAAAUCCAACCCAUCACGCCAUCCCCAAGAAGAAAACCUCUCUCUAUCGAACGAGAGCGAGAGCGAGAGAGAGAGAGACAGAGAGAGAGUCAAUGUCGCAUGGUUCACGAUGAGCUGAAUUUACUCGUGGAAUACGUGAUGGAGAAGGAGAGAAUGGCUUUUAUCGGCGCUGUCAAACCCUUUGAGAGGUCAACCGUUGGAGAGAGGCAGUAUUGAUCAGAAUUUCAUCUGAUGGCAGGUAUUUUAGAGAAUGAAAUGGUCAAAGUGUGUUAGAAGAUGUCCGUCAAAAAAACGGGCGAUUUCAGACGCCGAUGUCGUGGCUUAUGCUUCCUCAGCUGCAUGCCGUUGACGUGCGUCGGGCUCCAAUUCGUCGAAGAUCCCCAUCGGAGGGCCCAGUGGUCCACGGGUUGAAGGCGAAGUAUUCCUCACGCUGUGGAUUCGCAUUGACUCCACGGUCGUCGUCUGCUUUUCAGAGAAUGCCGGUGGAGCAUCGCCAGCCCCUCUUCUUCUUCCUCUUCCUCUUCCUCUUCCCUCUUCUCCGACGCCACGAGGCCUCGUUGGAGCCGCGAGGGAAUCGUCGGAGUCCGACUGAGCGGGGCUGGUCCCCUGGCACUAGGGAGCUCCCUCCUUUUCACUCCCACUCAACUCUCCUCCUCCUCACCCCCUUCUUCUUCCUCUUCCUAGUCCUCGUCCUCAUCCUCCUUCUCAGUUCUUCUCUCGCGGCCACCGUCCCGUCUCUAAUGGCCGCCGGUCCCCGCGUCUGGCUAUUAAAUAGCCAAAGGGAUCUGUGAGAGCCCAUGGGUCGUCAAGAAAGAACGGACCGAGCGAAGACCCUGGAGCAUGGUGGAACGGAAGAGAUAUUGAUCCAGCGUAAUUUGAUUUAGGUCUGAAAAUAUGAGAGAUGUGAUUCACGCGGGUCUAUUCCGAUGCUCGAUCCGGAUCAAAAUUGCGAUCGAGAAAUGACGAGAGGCUUAAAGACUCGGAGGACCAUCUCUGAGAAUGGAAUCUGUGGAGCUCGUCGGUGCACUUCAGAGCGCGGAGGCCCCACGCGUCUAAUUAUUGCCCGGUGCCGCUAGCCGCCGGCCCCGCAGCGGCCCCGGGCCUUUGAAGCGUAGCGUGCGGCCACGGAAAGGGAAGUCCGGGGAAAACGGUGGCAAAGGAUCCUCCACGUUGGGACACAUCGAUCGCUAGUAUGAUCUACUCCGUCCUUCCAUUGGCUGCACCAACAAGAUCCCCCCUGCCUUCCCCUCACCCUCUUCUUCUCUCUCUCCUCUCUCUCUCUCUCUCUCCCCCCCCCAGAGACCAACGUCCUGGAGAAAUUGGGCCCUAUCCUACACCGGCUGACCAGUGGGGGCAGUGUUUCUCCCUCCUUGGAUACCGUUGAAGGGGUGGCCACGGCGAUACCCAUGUCGCGGCUGGAACGAGGCGGCAUGUGUCAUGGCGGCGGCUUCUUCUACUCCCAGCUCAACCCCGACGUCAACCACGCCGUCGCGGGGUUCCCCGACGACGGCAGCGCGGACGGUUUCCUCCGGUUCGCCGGCCCGGAAGACGGCGGGGUUGGUUGGCUGCUGAAUGGAGCCAAGGCAGCCGAGCUGUCCGCCCAUGAGCGGAUGCCGUCGCUGGUUGCACCCCCCAUCAAGUCCUCGGACUGGCUGAGCUCAUCUUGUAGCUCUCGCCCGGCGGUCCCCGGAGGUUGCUGGAGCACGGAGAGCUUGCCGGAGACUACUUCGAUGUCCCUCCCCGCGGAUGUUCCCAUGGCCGGUCGUGCAGCGUCUCUCGGCACUGCUGUGAGUGAAUUGCCCUGUGUUCUACAUAGCUGAGGCGGAAUUUCUCUUACCCGAUGCUGAUUUUGAUUCCCAUGCAGUGAUAAUUUCUUUCAUCUGUCCACUCUCGCCCUCGUAGAGAGGUGUGAUUAUCCAAGAAUUAAUCAUGUUGCCACAUAAUUCGACAUUAAUUUGAGGAAAUUAUGGGCUUCAUAAGCUGAAUUCAUGCAUGCCAUUAUAAAAUAAAGUGUUCAAAAAACUUUGGUCACCUGUUGCAUCGAGUUCCCACCAUUGAUCCACCGCACCGAGCUCUGUUGGAAACCCGUGGGCUCACAAAACUGUAUUUUGUAAGCCUCCAGUUUGAUUUCUCCGAUUCUUAUCUAAGAAUCAGAAUUUACUCAGUGAAAUCACAAGCCGCUGAGGGAUUGUUUUCUCUGUGCAGAUAGCCUACUCCGGUGCAAGCUUCGCCGGCAACAGCCCGACUUCUAGUUUUGCGACGGCGGAGAAAGCCACGUCCUCCGGCAAGUGUGAAGGCACCACGUCGGAGAGGGAGGCGCGGGUGAUGCGGUACAGGGAGAAGCGGAAGAGGCGGAGGUUCGAGAAGCAGAUACGCUACGCCUCGCGGAAGGCGUACGCCGACACGAGGCCCAGGAUUAGGGGCCGAUUCGCGAAGACGCCGGAAGAGAAGCAGCCGCCAUCGCCGGCACCACUCAACGUCUCCGCACAGAAUGGCAUGGGGUGGUUCCGGUCGUGAUCAGAGGGCCCCCCCGGGGAGGAAUCAGAAAGGAGCGCCGUCCCUUCAUUCGUGGCUUCUGGUUUUUAUCCUCACGGCCGCGAAAUCGACCUUAGAUCAGUCGUGGAUCGCCAUUAAUGUACCUGCUUCACUAACACCUGCUCAGGCUUUCUAUGCUCGGAAGGACGGUGGGGUGAGGGAAUAACUGAACCAUGAAUCGUCCUAUCGCCCGGGAAAAAUUCGUUUUUUCUUUCUCUUCCCCUCCAUGUUCAGAUUUUUAGCGAGGUAUUGCUGACGUUGGGACAUUUUUUUUCUUCUGUAAUAUGGCUUGGUUUUGUGGAUGGAUGCCAACCUUUCUAUUAGAACAGCCCAGAAAAUAGAUUCAGACCGGAGUUCGGGAUUUUUUUUGAAUUGAUGAUGCCGGUGAAACUUAGAACCUCGCGACAUCAGUCUGAUGCGUAAAAUCCUCAAAAUAAAUCAGCCAUGUCAAUAAAUUUUACCAGUUCAUAACUAUUCUUUAGUCGCAUGAAUUAAUUGAUUGAGAUGGUUUGAUGGUUCUCGAUGAAUGGAUUUACCCGACACCUGAUUCGGGAUUUAUUGAACCCCCGUGAGAAUUCAAGGCAAGAUAAUGUAAACGAGCGAAGUGAGUAGCUCACAGUUCGGCCGCGUCGGAUGACGCGUUUCUGAGGAACCAUUUUGGUGAAGUUCCCAGGCGGCUGCAGCGCCGCCUUCCGACGGGUCGUUCCCGAGGUGGAAGCCGAGCCCCAGUGGGGGACGAGUGAGACGCUAUUGCAGCGAGAGUGUGAGAUCGCCGAACUCCGCCAGCCACUGGAGGUAUUUUGGUGUCUCCCAACACUAGCACACAAGCGGAGGAGCUGCUUGGAUGACAGUGGGUGAGUUGGAGAGAUGAAGAGGAAGAAGACGGCGAUCUCGCAGUGACUUUUUAAUUUUAACCUCAUCAUGGAGAUAUUUCAGAAACAAGGGGGGCAUUUUGGCGAAAACCUUCGAAGUAGAUCACGAGAGCCACAGGGAGACGACCCGUCCUCAUCGUCCUCGGGUGGAGUGGGGCUGGAGAGGGGGUUCUUUGUGCCGAGGAAGCGGAGGCGGCCGCCGGUCGCCGGACUGGGUUGCAAUACGGUAGACCAGACCCUCGUUGGCGGCGACUCUGGUGAUCUAGAGUGAGCGAGAGAGGGGAUCAUGAAGGGGCCGGCGCGAAUGGGAGGGGGGAAAAUGAUCCGUCUCGUGGGCAGGACUGUCGGGGCGGGGAUGGGCGGGGUGCAGGAGGCAGUCUCGACUGCCGCCGGCGCUGCGUGCGGCCCCGCGCGGCACGCGAAGCCGGUUAGCGUCGUCUCGGUCUCGUCUUCCUCGUCCUCGAGUUCCUCUUCAUUCGCUGCUUCUCUGACCGGGACGACCAGCUGGGAGCAGUCGCACUCUUACUUCUGCGAAGGGGACGGGUGGGAGCCCAUUGGAGAGGAAGAGAUUGCCGAGGCGGGCGACCACGUCUUCCCCGGUCGUCUCAUCUUCGGACCGCCGCCGUCUAGGGAGGAGGUGGUCGAUGCCGUCUCCACCAUCCAGCAGUGAGCUCCCAAGCCCUCAUCGCCAAGAAUCCACUUAUUAGUCUCUUUAAAAUUUCCCCUUUCAAAUUUUUUCUCGAGCAUGUAGAUCAGGGGCCAUCCCCUCGAUUUCUUGGAUAUUUCUGUUUCGUGUUGUGAUUUUCAUGAAUUUUUUGAUCGUAUUCCCUUAUAAACUUUCCCAAUAUCACUGUUAAGAAAAUCCAAGCUUGUCUGAAGACAAGGUUUUGUCUUUGAUCCCAUGGUCCUCAUAUCUUGUCCCGUCUUGUUCCAUUGAGGCUUCUCUGUUUGAGCAGGGGCUAAGGUCACAAUCUCACAGUAUCCGCUGGGAAGAUCACAUAGCCCUCAUAAGUUAUAAUCUGAUUAUUAAUGAACAUUUCUAUAUUUAUUUAACAAUUGUGAAGUUAUUUUCGUUGGCAGCCCUCGAAGGACAGUCAAGAAACAGAAAUAUAGUCUUACGUUUUGACAAUGUAGGCGCGAAUCCUUAUUCAUUUCAGGUUUCGUUGACUCUCCUUGCCACAACUGUUUUAGGGCCAAAAAUGCUUGCUUGCCUCUGUUAUGUAGCUCAUCGUAUACUAUUGAUCUUCCUUUACGAAAUUUGGUUGACAUUUUUUACGAUUUAAUUUUUUCUAUUAUAUCCCCUAUUAUGUGUGAGUGAUAAUUCUGCUGAGACAGAAUAAUUUAUACAAACCUUAUUCCUCAUUUUUCUUUGGCAUUCUCAUUGUCAUACCUCUUCAUCAAGUAUCAGGCUUCAGCACCGGGUAGAUGAUUCCAGGCCGAAACGAAACAAUUUACUUUAUCCGAGUGGCAACUUCCCUUCCGCCCUUUUCCUUGCUGGGUUUAAUCACGUUGAAUCUUAUUGUUUCCUAACUAAUAUGGUUUUGGUGUCCCAAAUGUAGGACAUUCGCCGCAUUUGCUUUCCCACAGGAGAUCGUGGAUGGUUUUUCCUCUACGGCGGCUGAGACUGUGAGAGAUAGAGUUCUGAUAACGGAUUCAGUGCACAUAGUUUCUUCUUCUGAGUCUGAAUCAGAUUGGAUCGAACCUACUCUUCACCUCUGCAGUCGCAGCAGUGUGGACUCUCGAAUGCAUGGGAAAGUCGUUGAUGCUUUCAGAUUAUUACAGACGAAUCCUUCUAUCAAGGUUAUUUUUUUCCUUUUUUUAGUUAUUUGUAAAUUCUCAAGGCUGAUGGGGGUCGUCCCUUUUGUUUUUAUUCCUUUUUUUAUGGGAUCUGGGACCGAAAUCAUGCUAAAAAAUUUAAUGAUUCAUGAGCUGAACUUCAUGAUGGAUGAAGCAUGCAAGAACCCAUACACACCCUUUAUUUGGCCUCUGUUUCUUCGUUCGUGGAAGCAUGAUUUCACUUUCGGUAUUCAGUAGAUCUCGACUUUCGGACUAGAUAUAUGUUUCUCAUUCGUUUUGACACCGCUUCUAUGAAUUUAAUGAACGCAGAAGACAGUUGUCUCGUUGUCAUCAGACAAAGCCGUGUGGGACGCAGUCAUGAAAAACGAGGCCGUGCAAGAACUGAGGGAGUCCUUCCGUGCAGGUCUUUCCACUGUUUCCUACAUUUUUUCUCCAUGAUCCCGAUAAUCUAUCUCGAGGACGUCAACUUAAUCGAUCUCGGUUCACAAUCCCAUCCGAUCUGCUGUAUAUCCGAGUAUAAUUAUCAGAAGACAUGCUGUUAAUGGUCUACGGGUGAUAUAUUAGCCGCUAAUCCUGGACGAGAUGGGCAAGAUAAUCUCUUCUUUUUUUGCCUUUCUUCUGAGAGUUCUUGUUUUAUACAGCUGAGAGUGCUGGGUCCCCCUCCGACGAGCAGAACCUUCCGGCGAAGAUUCUCAGGAUCUUCCAGGGCACCACGGGAAGGAUGAUGGAGAUGGUCGAGAAGAUCGCCAAGAUCAUCAGUGGUCUCUUCGCCAUCCCGGAAAAGAGCAGGAAGGUGGAUCUUUUCGAGGAUGCGCUGAGAUCUUCCUUCAUGCUCUCGGUCGUCGUCUUUAUAGUCGUCAUAUUAUCUCGCACCCUCCGAGCUUAAUGCCCGAUUAAGCCGCUGUAAUCACUCGUCGACCUUUCCUGUACAUCGCUCCUGUUUCCCUUUCUCCCUCGACUGUAAUCCCGUGCUGCUGUAAAUUCGCUGUUUUUAACGGUUGUUUCUUCAAUCUGCCCUGUCGGGACGAUUACUUACCGAUUUCUCUAUGAAUUUACACACCCAUUUGUGUUUAUAUUUAGCAUCGUCGCUAGAAAUCCUGCCAUGUACACGUAUGCUACAAAUGGCGGCGGUAUCAUACAAGCUGGGGCUAUAGCGCUGCACGUGAGGUAUCCUGCCUAUUUACAGUUUUACUAAUUCCGAGACUAGACCAGGGGGGAGACUGAUGGAUGGAGACGACGACGGAGGUUGAUGACGGUCCUGGUCGGGCGAAUCCUCUUUUCUCUCCGCCCAGAAUCCAUGGAAUCCGAGGGGGAAGUUGAGGUCCUUCGGGACUUCGAUCCUCGCCACGACGGCCUCGGUUCUUCCGACGUUCCUCGCGUCCAGUAUCACCAGGUAGCAUCUUCUCAUCCAAACCGCAUACUGCAGGAGGGAGAGUCCCCGGAGUCGGCAAGGUUAGCAGAUGAAUGAUCGAGUCUGUGGGAUAUCCAGGGACUGGGGUGGGGUUGGAUUUCUCACCUCCACCACCAAGAUGUAGCCGUCGUCUUCGCCGCCGGCGGAGCCCUUUCGGGGGACAAAUAUGGGCUCUCCGACGAACCGCCGCCUUCCGGCCGACCAUGUGGCGACGGAGCCGUCGGAGCAGUUCAGCUUCCCCACGCUAUCGAAAGGGAAAUGGGGCAAGAACCGGCGAGCCCCCGAUGUUGUCCCCACGUAGACAUAGUCGUUCUCGCGGCCGGAGAAAGCCGGGUUGAUCGCCGGGAAGUCCGCCGGCUUGGUCCACCUGUCCGACACCUGGCAGACAGAGCAUUGCCGGCAGUUUCCGUCGCCGUCCACUCGGAUCGACACCUGAAUGGUGACACGGCCAGGAUUAGAUCGGCUGGAGAAUCCUCCCCAUGUGAUCAUGAACGCUGCAAGUCGACAGAGAUGACAGGUACCUUGACCAGGUGAGGUAGCAACGACUGCCGGCCCUUCUUCGGGUUCAUGAACGAAGGGUCAAGCUCUCCACUUCGCCAGUUAUACCCUACAAGAAGGACGCGAUUCAGCUAUCGACCAUCGCGCAGCCGCGGAACGAAGAAGAAGAUUGUCUCUUCUUUGGCUUUCGUCGGCUUACCGAACAUCUUCUGGAAAUUGAACCACUGGUAGGAGCACGCGGAGGCCUGAAGCUGGAUUUCCACCUCGCCGGACUCCUCUCUCCGCUCGAAGGCGUUCCCGAUGUGCAGCACCCAGAGCUGACCAGGAGCCUCGAUGGGCACCGCCCAGUCACGGCGGCUGCCGCCCUCACCGUCGGGAAACCGCGGGAGCAGGUAUAUCGGAGACGUCGGCCGGCUGGGAUUCACCGACAGCGCCGAUAUCAUGGGAGAGUGACCCGAAACUGCAGCCACCAGAGAUCCUGCUCGUGGGAAGCCCGAAACUGUUAGAAGAUGAACUACGAGAUCACUACAAAGCUACUCUGCGUUGCACCAUCCGCGGCGCUUACCUGAGACGUCCAGCUUGAUGCGGUUGCCGACGAGGACGUAGUGGCCAUCGGUGAAGGCCCAGUCGUGGAUCAUCAGGUGAUCGGGAAUGGUGAAGUCCUUCUUCUGCAGCAGCCUGAAGUUGGAGUCGAACUCUGCACGGUCGGAAGAGAAGAAGUCAAUGAAGUUGCUCAGGUUGCUGGACGGUCGGAAGAGCGAGCGCAGACAGAGUCGGGCGGCGGCAUAGGUAGGGCGGUCGUUGGCUCACCGUAGAAGGUGAAGUUGGAGCGCGGCAGGAGCAUGUCCUCGGCGUUGCAUGCCAGCAUGAGUAGCCUGUUCCGGCGGGCGUCGACUCUGUAGUGCGACAGCAGGCGCUUCGCCGGCAUCUUGAACAACCCUGUGCCGCCCACAGCCGUGGCUCUAUCAGAACCAUUGGAGAGGGAGGUCGAGAAUCGACGAAACGUGUUUUCUGGCAGGUUUUUCGUACUCACCGUAUAGUAGUGGCUUCAGGAGAGCGGCGGCGGCGUCCAGCCCAAGCUCCCCCAGCCGACGGAGCCAGUCGGUCGCCAUUUCCUCUCCGUUUCUGCUCUCCGUCUUCCCCCCCUUGUCGACCACGUCGAAGAGGCCAACCGUGUCGAGGGUCUUUCUGUCGAGCUCGUAGGGUUCGCCGCCUUCCCACAAGCAGAGCAGCCUCCCCCCCCAGACUAGUACGCUGGUGUUGGCCACGUUCUUCAUCACCUUCAUGUUGCCCAGCUUCUUCCCCGCCUUGAGCACAGAGAACGGCCCACGGUGAGUGAAUUUCCAGCUCCCCGUCUCGUCGUCCCUCUCCUCCUUCUGUGCCCCAGUCUCCACAUACCGAGCCGAGUACUUCACACCGCGCCCGCUAGAUUCGAAGUCGAAUGACCGGAGGUAACCGUGGCCAUCCAGAGGAUGAACGGUGGAGCCGUGGUCAUCGGCGAAAAGGCCAGGGCCAGCCAGGUAGUAGGUGCCGGCUGGAAAGUCCGCUGGAACCGCACCGUCGACGGUCCGGAGUGGAACCGGGGACGAGGUCUCCCGCCUCUGGGAGACGAAGAGACCCUGGUAGUCCCAGAAAGCGGUCGCCGCCGAGUCGACGGCGCCGGCACCGUCGGGGGGCGACACAGGGGGCGCCGUCGUCGGCGCCGGCGUCGUGGGGGCGCCGGGGGGUGCUCGCAGAACGCGGGAGGUGGGUGUAACGGGGACGGUGGAUGGGGCAGCCCGUGGGGUGACGGAGGCCGAGGAGGAGACGCGCACAGUGUUUCUUCUCGCCGGUGGCGGAGGCGACGCUUUCCCCGAGGGGAGGCGGCAUGGAGCUGCAUGAAUCAUUUUUCUCCUCUCCUUCCACUCUCCAGUCCGGCAGCUGAAGGACCAGGAAUCUCCCCGUCGGCUUUGUAGCACUCGAGACCAGAACCCGCCGCCCUCCGAGUUCUCCAUUACCGCGAAUGAACCAUCUAGAUUCCCUCCUGGGCCCACUCCGACCCACUGGGAGUAUCCUACUGCGUGGCCCCCACCUGGUCGACUGACCACCUGCCUGCCCAUCGUUGACCUCCUCCACACUCUCCCCCUCCCAGCGAGCAUAUUUCACUCUAGGGAGCAUAGGCACGAGGGACGACCAGAUCAGAAUCGGAUCGCAUCUCGAGGGUGACCUUUAACGUCCGAUCCUUCCUUCUUCCACGGCCGAUUGGACUUCACGUCCCACGGGCACACAGAUAGUGAUAGACGGGGAGAGAGAGAGAGAGAGAGAGAGAGAGAGAGAGAGAGAGAGAGAGANNNNNNNNNNNNNNNNNNNNAGAGAGAGAGAGAGCAUCUAAGGGUGGAGAUGCUGGCAGAGGCCAUGAAUGGUGGGAGCUUGUCGACGGCUCUGCAUAAUUCUCGGCCACUCCACGGCCACUUAGGUCCGACAAGACCUCGGCACAGUGUGUGCUCAGCCGCCGCCGGUUAGCUCCGAUGGCGUCCUCCCCUCGUCCUCGCGAGAACGGAGCCUCCUCCCUCUCCGGCCGGAUCGCCCCCCGCGAUGGCCUCUGCGUCCCGUCAGCCGUCGAGAGUGAGGAGCCCGGUCGGCCGGUGGGCGUUGUCGCCGCUUUUGGCAGACGGUGGAGCCGGCGGGUGGCGAAAGGGAGGAGCAGACCCCGCCGGUGACUUCGACGAUGCUAGUUAAAGCCGGGCCUAGACCAUCAUGCCGAGACACCCAUGGCGGUAAUCCCACUUUCAAGGGUUGAACUCUGAGGAAGCCCCGCUCUCCUCCCCUCUUCCCACCUUCCCGGUGCAGAACCUUUCGCCACUCUCCUCCUCCUCCCUCCUCCUCCUCGUCCUUCCUCCUCCGCCCCCUGAACGACCGACCUUCCAGGGGGCGGGGCACAGGCAGAUGAUCUGACCCGCACAGGCAGGCACUGUGUCGGCCCUAUAGUUCGAUUGAUAUAAAAUAGAUAUAUUUAUAUUAAUAUUUUAAAAAUCAUUUAUUUUUAUUAUUACCCUUUUAAGUACAUUUAUAUAUGCAGUUUUUUCUUCAAAUAAUUGUGAGGGUAAUAUUUUUCUGUAAAUUAUAUUAUAUUACAUGCAUUAUAUUACAGUUAUCAAGCCCGUGCAUGGGAAGCUGGUUCGCACGUGCCACGCUUGGUCCCACCGGGUUUUCCUCUGGGCGGGAUGGGGAACUGCCGGGGGGUGAACGCUUCUGAGUUCGCUCCCCCGUUUCCGUUUCCCUCCCGAGGUUUUUCCCGGGUGGAGAUGGAGUAUGGGGAGCGGCUGGUUGCAGCAGCGGAGUUCGUUCUCUCCGGCGAGCGCGGUCACAUGCUUCUGGAUCCCAACGACUUUGGGGUUAAGGCUGCCCUGAAACCUCACCAGGUGGAAGGCGUUUCUUGGCUCGUACGGCGAUACGAAACUGGAGUCAACGUCGUUCUCGGUAGGUUUUUUUUCGUGGCUACCUUGAUUUUGUGCUUAUCUCGCUCUUGACGUUCAUUGGAGGGUUUUCCGUGCGCGCAGGGGACGAGGUGGGUCUACUGUCCCGUUUUUGUCUUGUGGGGAUGUUGACGCCGACUUCGUGUAUUCGGAUGUGAAAAACACUCUAAAUUAUUUUAUUUGUAUGAUAUGGGUCACAUACUUUUUUCUAGACAUUGCAAAUUAACAUCGGUCACACUUCUAACGUAUCUUCUUCUUUUUGUUUCCCACUUUCCCUUCCCAUUUUCGUCAGUCUAAUUUUCAUUCAAGUGACUAAAUUUGAUGUAGAUGGGAUUAGGGAAGACGUUGCAAGCUAUCUCUUUCUUGAAUUACAUCAAGAUUCGUCGAUUAUCGCCUGGACCUUUCUGUGAGUGAUUUACUUCAGUUUACUUCAAUGUUGUCUUCCCAUGGUCUGCGAAGAACACUCUCAGUCACAUAAAUACAUGAACUUCGUUUGUUUCUACCAAUGUAUGCAGUAAUAUUAUGUCCUUUAAGUGUAACGGAUGGCUGGAUGCAUGAAUUUUCCAAGUUUUGCCCAAGCUUAAAGGUUCUCAGAUAUGUUGGUGAUAAAGCAUUCCGCUGCGGUCUGAGACGCAUGUUAUAUGAACAUGUACAUCAAUGCUCAACAUCAAAAGUUAGUCUCCAUUUUACCAAUACGGCGUGUCUCCUAUUUGAUCCUUUUAGUGGUAUUGUUUCUCAAUGUGAAGUUGAUCUGUCAUCUUUUACGCUCAGAUGCUAUAUUCACACAUGGUCCAUUGGAACAGUUUGACUACAUAUCUAAUUCCCUGCUAUACUUGUUUUUUUUAUGUUUAAAAUGUAACUUGCCAACGUUUUUUGUUUUAUCCUUGAAGAGAGAAGCAACGUUGCCUUUCGAUGUACUUUUGACGACUUAUGACGUGGCAAUAUUGGAUCAAGAUUUUCUUUCCCAGGUUCCCUGGCAGUUCGCUGUGAUUGAUGAAGCUCAGCGGCUGAAAAAUCCGUCCAGUGUAUGCAUAUUUUUUCCCCUAUGACAGUGAAUCUGAUUUUAGGAUUGGAAACUUCCAGAAUAAGAACCGCACACUCAUGACUCUGGAAUGACAUAUAAGAAUAAUAACGAAGUUUACAGAUGGAACUAGUUCUAUUUUAGUGAUUGUAAUGUCUAUAUGACUCGUAACUUCUGUUCCAAUGAUGUAAAAUGACUAUGCGGUCUUAAGUGAUUAUCUGUGGUAGCUUUUUCCAUCAUCGUCUGAAAAAUCACCAUGUCAAGAUAUCCCCAUGAUAUCACUUUGCAAUCACCUUUCUUUUCUGUCUAGGAUCCUCUGCGGUUGUAGAUCUCCUUUGCUAUUAUGUGGCUUACAGUCUGUCGCAUGACAAGUGCUCUAUUUUUGUUAUUCCCCUCGAAAAGAAUAACUGAGAAGAGGCUAGAAUUAAAUGAACACUUGUUAUGGAUCGAAAGGAUAGGAACCAGAUUUAGGUCUAUUACUUUACUGGUAUUUUUUUUGGAAUUUUUUUUUUCUUCUUUGAAAAUGAUUGAUUUAGUGACCUAUCUGACUGAUGCUUUUGUCACUUGCUUCCCGUUAGGUUCUUUAUAAUAUUCUUCAGAACCAUUAUAUGAUCCCAAGGCGUUUAUUAAUGACGGGGACUCCUAUACAGAAUAAUCUCUCUGAACUAUGGGCUUUGAUGCACUUUUGUAUGCCGUCAAUCUUCGGGACAUUGGAGCAAUUUAUUUCCAAAUUCAAGGACGUCGGGAUUUCCUCAAAAAGUACCCUCUUUUGUAAACCUUGCCACUGUACUUUUAUGAACGUUGCGUAGAAUGUGAUCAUUUCACUUAAAUGCUAGUCAGGUUAAUUUUUUCUAGUGCUGGUAGGGCGUUUUAAUUUUUUUCUGCUUGAUAUUCUCGAAAUAUAUUUUUUCGGAACUUUAUCUUCCUUCUCUAUUUUGAAAUUAUCAUGCAUUCUUAAAAUGCUGAUUUUAUUGUGUAGUACUAAAAAAAGGGAUAUUGAUUUUUUGAUCUUACACUGAUGGUAUUUUGUUCUGUGGGCAGCGUUGAAUGGGUCUGAUGCCAAGGGGCAGGUAAAGAUUUUAAAAUACAUACUUAGAGCAUUUAUGCUUCGGAGAACAAAGUCAAUGCUCAUCCAUAGCGGAACACUGACAUUACCUCCUUUGACUGAAGUCACUGUGUAAUAUUAUGACCUUAAUUUUAUCGAACUUAACUUUUCGUCUUGCAGUAGAAUGGUAGUGAUUCAGUAUCUCGAUAAUUCCCAUAAAUUUUGUUCAUUGACAGGAUGGUUCCAUUGGUACCUCUGCAAAAGAAAGUCUAUGCCUCGAUUCUCAGGAGGGAACUCCCAAAUCUUCUUGCGUUGGCAUUGGGUGCUUCUAAUCAUCAAUCCUUGCAGAAUAUUGUAAUACAUCUUUCUUUACUUUUCAUCAUUAUGUCCCCACAUUUUACCCUACCAGCCUAAAUGAGCUUUUGACGUGCAUGCACAUAUCCCUAGGAUCUAAAUUUGUCACCCUUUGCAAAGUUUCAGCUGGGCUGUUGGUGCCAUUUUUUAGAAAUAUUUGCAUCGUGGAAUCGAGUUUGAUUAAAUUAAUGCAUUAGAGAUACGAUAUUUUCUGUCUACACAUGUAUUUCGUUAAGAGAAGUGUUGUUUUUAUAUUCAUAACGAUUAUACUGUUGUUGUUUCCUUGCUUCACUUUGGAGUAAAUUAAUCCUGAUAUAGUUUCCAAAGAAGAAUCUUAGAAGUAAAUAUAUAAGGAAUUGGUCUCCGUUUUUUCUUUGCAGUUUACAUAUUUUGAACUUGUGAUGUUAGCUUCCAGUCUGUUUGUUGUCAUCAAAGAAGCCAGAGGGAAUCAGACUUAUCCUGAUGAUUGAAGGUGCUCUAUUGUCUGGUGAUUCAAAACCCCAGAUAUUUGACACGGUUUCUAGUUGCGUGUCAACCUGACUUCCAACCAGUUUUGUGAUGAUGCCACCAAACACAUACUGAGUGACCAGGCGUGGGAACUCCUGUUCUAAGCAGUGCAUAAACUGCUAACAAAAGCUACUUAUCGUACCACCUCCUUUUUUGCAAAAGUAAAAUGUAAUAAAAGACAAAAGAAGGGAGUAAUAUAAAACAAAAGAAAAAAAUGCAAUUGAAAAAAGGAAUAAAAGGCGAAUUAGGAUAAAAAUGAAAGGCACAACCAGAGAAGAAGAAAGAAAAACUGACGACUGGGGAAUGGAAUGAGAAAAUCAUUGUAGAGAUUAAAAAUGAAAGGCACUACGCCUAAUUGUGACUUGCCACGACAAAGCACAUGACAUAUCUGAAGCCUUUUAAGCUUGGCAUGUUCGUGUCCUGUACCAUUAUUUGAUGGAGUCCUUAUCAAUUGUGUCCAUGGGGGUUGUGUCUCAGUACCUUCGUUUCACUGCGAUGUUGAAAAUAUUUCUUUUUCUUAGGAUUUAUGCAUCCUAGUUUUAACCUAGAAUGCAGUGGAAAUUAUGUACGUAUUUCGUUUCCAUUUGACUAUUCCAAGGGGAUAUUGAUGGGAGGUAAUAUAGUAGAUUUCCAUGGGUAAUUUUCUGAAAGUUGAUACCGCUUUCUGUUCCAUCUGAUUAUAUGCUAGAGAGGCUCUUCAUGAUUUCAACUCUCUCCAAAUAUUUUAUUUCAUUGGAGAUCACUGUACCCAGAAAAUUCCACUACUGCCAUUUAUUAAGUAUUCUCAAUUAUGCUGGUUACUUGUUGAGCAUGCUGUGCCUUUACAAUUUAUCUUGGGAAGCAAAAGUGAAAUUUAUUGCUAUCCUUUCUUGCUGCUGAUCAGGUGAUACAGCUUCGGAAAGCAUGUAGCCAUCCUUAUCUUUUCAAUGGCAUUGAGCCAGAACCAUAUGAAGAAGGCGAGCAUCUGGUUGAGGUAAAAUUAUACUCUUACUUUGGCUCGAAAGAGAGGAAUGGUAAUUUUUUUUUGUUUUGCAAAUGUUCUUGACUUUUUUUGGAAUACCAGACGACAUAAUCUUUUUAAGUGCUAGAGUCCUCUGGUACUUGAUACUAAGAGGUGAGGCUUUAGUGCUUCAAGUGCUACGAUCUUUUGGAAUUCGUUUUGUUAGAGUUAUCAUGCGGUCCCACUCAAAAACAAUUGUCCAUGAGUAAUCCCAUCUUUAUAAUCACAAGUAUGUAAUGAUCAUAAAACUAUGAGUAGGCCGCUUCCCCCACACGAAAAGUUUUGAACUAUAUCAUGUGGAUAGUUUAAAUGGCAUCCAUUUGAAUUUAAAGCGGCCAUAGACUCAGAGAUAAUAUGCUAGAGUUAUUGGCCCAUCCAACUCAAAAAACAAAAAUAUGGAUCAUUGUGGGUUUAUUUCUGUUAAUAGCCAAUGUGGGGAUAUUCUUAAUUCUUUUAUUGAUUGUGAUAGUGAAGCAAAUACAAUGAUUACCUCGAUCAUCUUGUUUGUCAGGCCAGUGGUAAACUUGUUGUUUUAGAUAAGCUACUUCAGAAACUCUAUCAUUCAGGGCAUCGUGUUCUGCUGUUUGCUCAGAUGACUCAUACUCUGGAUGUUAUUCAGGUUGGUGAUCGUCCUUUGGAACUCAAGUGGAUCAGACAGAGUACAUUACGUGAAUAAUGUUAUACUGAAUUCUGUGUCGUUCUUAUUUAGGAUUUUCUGGAACUGAGGAGGUACACCUAUGAACGUCUUGAUGGAUCUGUGCGAGCCGAGGAACGUUUUGCUGCAAUAAGAAGCUUCAGUGUUCAAUCAUCUAAAGUUACUGAAGAAAAAGAGGCAGUGCAGAAUGGUGCUUUUGUUUUCCUGAUCUCCACCAGAGCAGGGGGGACUGGUCUGAAUCUUGUAGCUGCGGACACUGUAAGUCAUAGACCUGACCCAAGAGAUGCCUGCAAAUACUGCAGAUACUUUAAAAUUGAUCUGACCUGAGGUAGGUGCAUAAACUCUGACAACUUCGAUUUUCUUCCACAUAAAAAGGCCCCUCAAUGUCAAUCAUUAAAACCUCGAGAUAAAAGUUGUAUAUGACUACCAUGAUAUGUGUAACUGUUGUGAUGGAUACGUACGGUUACAUGUUAUUAGGUUUUGUGAAAAUAUUUUAUGGAAUGUUAGUCUUGAUGAUUACUGUGACUGGUAUGCUUUGGUAUAUCAAUUGUAGUCAGAGUCUCUCGUAAAGGAGGAGGGUCAGAAGGCAAGAGACUAUGAAGUGACGCAGUAGCUUCUAUGUCAAAAAUGUUGAUCAAAUGACUUAUCAGUCAGUAGAUAAGCUAAUGUAUCUCAAUUCGUCCAUGUGAAAAAAAUGCUUUUUUCUCAUUUCAAAAUGGCUCACAAAUGCCGUUUGACUUUGUUCACAUGGACCAAGCAAAGAAUUUUGAUGUUGCACUCAUAAGCCAGGUGUUUCAUGGCUUUAUAAAUGCCAAUCACAUGGCCUAGUAACCAUAUCCAUUUGUUUUAUUUGUUUUUACAUUUUAAUGCUUUAGGCGCUCUGUAUAGCAUUGACAUUAUAAAAUAUAAUAUCAUGCCCCCAAUAUGCCACCGUGUUACUCCAAUAUCCUGCAUAUAUCCCUGAAGAUUCAUCGGAAUGCAUCUUUAAAUAUGUCUUUGGUGUUGAUUAAUUAUUAGAAGAUGUCAUUAUCAGUGUAACUUUCCCCUUGCAUUAUUGUACUCAUAUACGAGACUAAUAAUGUUCUCAGGUAAUCUUUUAUGAGCAAGACUGGAAUCCCCAGGUGGACAAACAGGCUUUACAGCGUGCACACCGCAUUGGUCAAACAAACCAUGUUUUGGCUAUAAAUCUAGUUACAGAACGCUCAAUAGAGGAGGUGAGACUAAAAUGGAUUUCCAUUCUCAGGUGCAAGGAUCAUAUAAAUUUGAAAAACAAUCAGGUUUUUGUUUUUGAGCUUUUCUAAAGAUUUUGUGUUAGUGUCAUAGGUAAUUAUGAGGAGAGCCGAGAGAAAAUUACAGCUCAGCUACGAAGUGGUCGGCGGAGAGAGUAGUAUUCAUCAAGAUAAAAGUGAAAAAGGGUCGGAUGCCCCUGAUGUACAUUCACUCAUAUUUGGGUUGCAUAUUUUUGAUCUUACAGAUUUGGGGAAUGAAAGUUCUUGUGGUGUUAAUAUGGGACAAUUAGAUGCAAUGACGGAUAAGGUUGUUGAAUUACGUAAUCAUGGAGUAUCAGAAAAAGAUUUUCAGAGGUUUGAAAUCAAUCCAGCUGCUCUGUUUAAUAUAGAGAAGCCUCCAUCCAUCAGCAUUGACCCUGAACUGGAUGAGUCCUCAUAUCUAUCCUGGGUUGAGAAGUUCAAGCAGGCUUCCCAGUCAAAUGACGGCUCCCUUGUGAAAAACAAGAGAAAUGAUGUUACAAGCAAGAGUCUAAAGCGUGAUGAUGAAGUGAAGAAGGCCCAUCAGAAAAAGUUGGCUAAAUGGGAAGCUCGUGGUUAUCAGUCCUUGUCUGUGAUAGAUCCAGCUUUCCCCAUGGAAUCCGAUGUCUUGUCAGAUUUGGGGUCUGUUCAGUUUGUGUAUGGAGACUGUUCAAAGCCUUCACAAAUUUGUCCAUCAGAGCCUACAGUAAUUUUCAGGUCCUAUUUUCUUCCCAAUCUCAGUACUAACCUCUAUUAGAUUCUUCAUAAAUCCAUAUUUUUAAGAAGAAAAAUGUGCUUCUAGAUGUUCUUUGUGAAUUAGUGAACUCCAAACUUUUGUCCUUUCCUCUUUCAUUCAGGUUUCGAGGAAAUUAUGGAAAAAAAGUCUAAGAUAUUUUGGUGUUGGAUUUAAUUUUUGUGUCUGCUGGAUUUCCUGAUAGUCAGAAAAUUUGUUGUACCGGAUUUUCAAUGCCUACCCCCCUUUCAAAGUGCAGGUGUCAGAUACUCUAAAAUUAGUUUAUGUGAUGAACUGUUUGUUUCCUAAUUUCUUUUAUGCGCGUAGAUUAUUAUUCAAAUCACCUUUAUUGAUUGUUUCUGUUGUAGCACUGUUGAUAACUCUGGACGUUGGGGACAUGGAGGAAUGUUUGAUGCAUUGUCAGCUCUUUCAAAUAGCAUUCCGGAUGCAUACCAUCGAGCAUUUGAAUUUGGAGAUCUUCAUCUGGGAGACCUCCAUCUUGUAAAGUUGAAUGGUUUGUUGCUUCUGCUUCUCCAUCUGUCUUAUUUCCUAGACAUUUCAAAGACAGCGGAAAAAAGUUCCAAGGAUGAGAUAUGGAAAUUCAAUUUCCUUGUAAUUGCGGAAAUGUAACCUUCCGUUAGUUAGUUCUUCUUUCAUCUUGAUUUGUAAGAACACCCAUAGUUUUCAGUAAUGAAUUAUCCUUUAAAAUUGAGAACCAUUAUUUUCUGGGUAUCAUACCGUGGCUAUCCUCAGUUUCCCUUACGACUGCUCUUAUGGCCCUCUUUUUGCACCCAAAACACGGAGAAGUUUGAGCUUGGUCAGGGUGUCUCAUAUUAUUUUUCAAUAUUAUCGGUUAGCUCAAUGUACGUUUCUUUUACUCUCCAAGAAAUAUCAUUAGAUGGCCUUUUAGCAGUGAAGGAACUCCAGAGUAUGACUCUUUUGUCUGAACUUUACUUUGCUGCUAGUUUCAUUAACAGGGCGUUGUUUCAUUUUUCUAUUACUCAUUUUUUUUCAGUUAUUAGUUCGUGUCUCUGUUCUAAACAUGACACUGCUGGUAUUUCAUUCUCCAAUAACGCAAAAACAAAUCAUGCUUGUCCUAUUGUUUUGUUCUGGUUUAUUCUUACUUUGAAUACAUUGCUCAUAUCUUCAUUUCAUAUUACUUCGAUCUUUUUGAUUUAUCUUUUUGACAGAUAUUUUUUUGACACCAGAAUCCUCUCAUGAUGAAAAUGUGACCUUCAUUCCCAAGUUCGUGGCUCUAGCUGUUGUACAGUCAUAUAAUCCUAGGCGCAAAGUUCCCCGGAGCAGUAUCUCUAUGACUGAUCUCGAACGCUGUUUAUCAAAGGCAUGCUUUUCAGCUUCUGAAAACUCUGGUAUAUUUGCAUCCAGUGAUUUUUUUUCUGAUAUGAGCUGUUGGAUUGAUUCAUUUAAUUUCAAUAGUUGUCUUUACGUUAAAAGUUUUUGUAAUAGAACUGCAAUGCACGAAAUUUGAAGUGAAUCCACCGUCAUACAAUGUCUUACCAACCUUCACGUUUAUGACCGUAACAUUUGUAGGACGUCAGAAUCUGUUUUUGAUUUAUUAAUGUUUUAACAUGGAAUCUGUAUGUGCUAAAUUGAACGAGUUUUAAAUCCUCUGUCGUUAAGAAGAGGUCGAGUGCUGCCUCUAUUUUUGGGACACUGAUAUUUUUGUUAUAAUACGGCACUUCUCACAGUUGUUAUAUUCUGAAUGGUGACAACCUUUAGUUUCAGAAAGGUUGGGGGGCUACUCGUUUUGAUUGGUGAGAUUUAGAUUGAAUGACUUCCAGGUACUAAAUAACAUAAAAUUAGGACGAGUAUUAUAUUGAUGGAAUGACAUCACUGUGAUAGUACUAAGAAAAAAAAAAUGGAGUGUAGAAGUUCAAAAGAAAAAAGAAACCGAGGAGAAGAACUUAUACUUGAUGCCGUACUCGGAUUAACGGUUAAAAGCAUUUCGUAUUUUCUACUUUAAGACCGGAACAUCUUAAUAAAUGUAAAAGACUGGCUCUCAUGAAAAUUUGAUUACAUGAAUCGGCUCCUUUGUAGUUUUAACUAAGUAUGGUGCUUGCAUAUAUAGCUCACCGUUUCUAGGAGCCUCAAAAUUUGAGAGUGGAUAGGCAUUUUAAUACACCCGGUUAGACUUUCAUGCGGCAACUGUACUGGUCCUCUUAGAGUAAAAGGAGCAUGCAUGUUCGUAAAAUGAAGAGUCUGCUCGAGGCAAUCCAUUGGUUAUUAAGGUACCCAGAUGGGUUCCAAUCGAUCCCACUGUGCACUGGAAACGGGGAUUCUGGGCAAGCAACAUUCUUUAAAUUAUUGUUUGAUAAUAUUUGAGUAUUUUUAUGCUCACGAUGGAUUCUUAGGUCAACGGUCUUUCUGUCUGUAUAAACUUCUGAUACGUCAAACCCUGUUACCGUUUAAAGAUAUUUUUAAAAGCACUCAAAUCAUUGGGUGCUCUAACAAGCUACUGAGAGAUAACAUUGUAUAACUAUAUACAAGAAUAUCAGGAAGAGCGUUCAUUCUCCCAGCUGAACCCCUAUGCUUAGUCCUGUCCCAAGGGCGUGCGACUGUGGAGGUGGAUUAGGUACUAUAUUUAUAUACCUCAUCUGUUCUUGUAUUCUUAGGGAACAGAACGCAGUAUCUUUAUAGAGUAUACAAGUUUCUAAAAGGAGUGACAAGGAUAUGAGCGCUGAAACCCAGAUGACAUGCCAUUGGAUGGUUUUAUGAUAUGUUUACUCAAGUGCUAAGCUGUAUUACCCACCCAAACAAAUCCGAAGAGAGUUGUUUUCAUAGAUUGGAGAUAGCAUCCAUUGCAAGUUGGAGUCCUAAAGUUAAAUUGAUCGCAAGUAUUCGACUUCUGAAGAGAAAAAUCGCCAUGAGAAGAUUUUCGUUUUGAGUAAUAAUUGCUUGCACAUAACCAGUUGAUAAAAACCUAAUUGAGAGAGUAGUAUUCAUUCUGUGGUGCCUAUGAUGAGCCGAUUGAAGCUUGUGAGGACUUCUGAAUAAUCUCCUCCCCUUUGGUCUUCAUUCCCUAUCUGGUCUGAUUACCGAUUAACUACAAGGUGUAUUUCUCAUGGAGGCAUAGAUUUGGUUCUCGCUCCUGCCGGCAAUUUGACGACUUAGAAGGUGUUUUUAAAAUGGUUUUAUAAGGUUCUAAUCGUUUUUUUUGGGGGUUUCUUUAUGCAGCAUCAAUUCAUAUGCCUCGAAUCAGCUAUCAGGGUGGAGCCCAACGUUCGGAGUGGUACACAGUGGAACGCCUUCUGCGAAAAUAUUCAUCCAUUUAUGGUGUAAAAAUUUUCGUGUAGGCCCUCUGUGCCUUCUCUGCUCCACUCUUUCUUGCUGAUUAUUCUUCUGUGGUUCCCUCACAUCUCUCUUGUUUUCUCCCAGGUACUACUAUCGGCGCCCUUCUCAAGAGUGAGGGGGGGGGGGGGGGAAUCUAACCAACCAUAUCUACAGAGGGCAUUUCGACGCCCGUCCAAUGAGGUAGGCAGUCUGAAGAAGAACAAGAAGAAGAAGAAUGGCCCUUCAUUAGUGUAGAACCACCAUUAAAUAAGAGGAUUUUACUGGUUUAAGCAGCUCACAUUGAUGGUGUAUGCUACCAACUCUGCGUGGAGGAUGGGAGCCAAGGUUCAUGGGUUUUAAUGUAAGAUGAUGAUGUGCAUGUGAUGCCCCUUGAAUGGAUCUUGCAGGGAUGGAGUCAGCUCACAUCUGCCAGUUCCGGGACAUCAUCACGGGUGCUGUAAGGAGUAUAGAUCCGAUUCUUGAGUUUGGAAAAAGAACGACUGGUCCAGGAGGCAAAUAAAGGAGUCACAUUUAUUGCCCGCUCCGCCCGUCGCCCCCAGUAGCUGUACCCCGCAACCGGAAGCUCUCACACAGACCGGGGAACGAAAAGAAAGCUCGGAUAGGCCACUGUUUACGCUUCUUCUCUCACAGAGUCCGGCGUCAGUGAGCAGCGGGGGGAUCAUGCGACGGAGACGGCGGUGGGAUCUGGUCGGCCGCCGGCGACGAAGGGCUUGCCGGGCUCGAGGCGCAUCGCCUGCUCGCAGCCGUCGACGAGGGCGUAUAGCUGGUAGGGAGGGGCGUCAGUGGCGAGCCACUGGCGGACGUAGAAGAGGGUCUGUGUGCAGGGGACGUGCGGCCCCGCCGCGGUCACCUCCACGUACUCGCAGUACCAGCCGUGGUGGGGGCCAGAGCCGUCGGAGGUGAGGUUGAGGCGGCACAGCGGCGCCGAGAGGCCGCAGGGCCCGCGGCCGCUGAAGACGUCCAGGUUGCCGCGCUCGUAGUAGUCGUGGCCGGGGCCCAUGAGGCCGCCCCAGGCUUCAAGGUCCUCCACGACGACCGCGCGGCCGGCGGCGUCGCCGAGGGUGAGCCCGAUCUUGGAGUCGGUACCGCCCUUGAUCACCGAUCCCGUCCGCACGUACACGGUGUAGACGCACUCGCCAUUCUGCUGCUGCUGCUUCCGCUGAUUCCCACGUUAGUCGUGUUCUCUGCGAUCUUCUCCUAAAGAGAGCGCGGUGGAAGGGAGGAACUAGUCUAGUGAGCGUUUACUCACCGGUUCGCCGGCGGCCGCGCCCAUGAGGAGGGCGAGGAGACAGAGGGACAGGCUGGUGGAGGAGGUGAAGCGGCGGGGAACCGUCGCCAUUGCUAUCGCCGUCGCCGUCGCCGUCGCCUUCCUUUGGUUCGGCACAGAACCCGAACGAGAGGAAAAAACUCGGCCAACUCCACGACCCGUUUCCGAUAACAAAAAAAAGAC